CCUACGGGUGGCAGCAGUGAGGAAUAUUUGUCAAUGGGCGCGAGCCUGAACCAGCCAAGUCGCGUGAGGGCAGACGGUCCUAUGGAUUGUAAACCUCUUUUGUCGGGGAGCAAAAGACGCCACGCGUGGCGUUCCGAGCGUACCCGAAGAAAAAGCAUCGGCUAACCCCGUGCCAGCACCCACGGGCAUACGGAGGAUGCGAGCGUUAUGCGGAUUUAUUGGGUUUAAAGGGUUCGCGGGCGGACGAUAACGGCAGUGGUAAAAUUGAGGGUCUAAACCUGUUCGAGACGUUGAAACUGGUUUUCUUGAGUGAGCGAGAAGUAGGCGGAAUGCGUGGUGUAGCGGUGAAAUGCAUAGAUAUCACGCAGAAAUCCGAGUGCGAAGGCAGCAUACCGGCGCUCAACUGACGCUCAUGCACGAAAGUGUGGGUAUCGAACAGGAUUAGAUACCCCUGUAGUC
rnacentral:rRNA from 1 species